rnacentral:misc_RNA from 1 species
CUGAUAUUUAGCUUGAUAUUUUUCAAAAUUUUAUUUUGGGUAAACUACAUUUACCAUUUAUUAAUAUUUAUCUUCAUUUUCACCAUCGAGAAACAACGAGCACUUGAAUUGGAAAAUUUGUUAACGUUUGGUUAUCAACUAUUUCCGAAUAAGUCAGUGUGAGAAAUAUAAAAAAGAAUUCAGAAUAUCAAGAAGACCUCGUUUCUGUGAAAUUGUUCUUCUUAACUUUUUGCCAAUUUUUUUUUUUUUACUUUUUAUUAAUAUUAAUCGGCAUUUUCACCAAAAUAUUGCACACACACUUUUUUGGUGGCUGGUGAUUUCAGAAUCGGUCAGAAUCUUUAUGUGACCAUAGUUUAGCGCAACAAUUACAGCAACUACCCUAUUACCGGUUAUAAGUUCCAUUCCUGCUCAGAACAAGUGAUUGUAUACAUCGUGCAUGUGUUUGUCAUUGUUUGUUUCUCAUAAUACUUCGCGUUUACUAUCAAAUGC